GCGGAGGAUCAUUAAUGAAUCACAAGUCGGUCUUCUGUGCUGGUGGAAACACAUGUGCACGUUGAUCGCAAAUCCACACACCUGUGCACCUUUGACUUUGGGAUCCGCUGGCUGGCUUGUCCAGCUUGCAGUUGGCCGGCUCUGGGGUUGGCCUGGGUCUUGAGGUAAUUUUUACACACACUUGUAUGUAUUGGAAUGUCUCUGUGCAUAAUGCACAAAUAAACAACUUUCAACAACGGAUCUCUUGGCUCUCGCACCGAUGAAGAACGCAGCGAAAUGCGAUAAGUAAUGUGAAUUGCAGAAUUCAGUGAAUCAUCGAAUCUUUGAACGCACCUUGCACCCUUUGGUAUUCCGAGGGGUACGCCCGUUUGAGUGUCAUUGUAAUCUCACUCCAACAGCCUUUGUCGGCUGUGGGAGGUGGACUUGGACUUUGCUGUGUUGCUACAGCUGGUCUGAAAUGCAUGAGUGUACCCUGCUGUUGCAGCGUCUUCAGUGUGAUAAGCAUCCUCACUGGACAAAGUUCCCUCGGGACACGCAUGUGCAGUGGGCUCUACGCUUCCAACCGUCCUGCUUCUGGGACAGCCUUUGACAAUUUGACCUCAAAUCGGGUGGGACUACCCGCUGAACUUAAGCAUAUCAAUAAGCGGAGGAAAAGAAACUAACAAGGAUUCCCCUAGUAACGGCGAGUGAAGAGGGAAAAGCUCAAAUUUUGAAUCUGGUGUCUUUGGCGCCCGAGUUGUAAUCUAGAGAAGUGUUUUCUGCCUCGGACCACACAUAAAUUCCCUGGAAUGGGGUGUCAUAGAGGGUGAGAAUCCCGUUUGUGGUGUGGACUACCUUGGCUCUGUGAUACACUCUCAACGAGUCGAGUUGUUUGGGAAUGCAGCUCAAA
rnacentral:rRNA from 1 species